rnacentral:tRNA from 1 species
GUGUUUGUAGCUCAAUUAGGAUACAGUGUUAAAUUACGAAUUUAAAGAAUGAAAGUUCAAAUCUUUCCAAACACA